ensembl:lncRNA
CUCUUACACACAAUCCGAGCACAAGAAUUCACAGCAUCUCACACAGACUUGGAAUCCCUGCAAUGACGGAUGAGACAAAAACAAGGAGGGUCUCUGGCAGCAUCUGUUCAUUCAGGAAUAAGAAGCAACUCGGAAAAUAUAUCUGCAUGGAGGCUGACGAGGUGCAGGAAUGUGAAGAAGCAGUCAUGAUUCAUUCCAGAGCGUGCAUUGAUUACACGCCAAAUGAACAUACGUUGCAUGCUAAUUUCCUUCCCGGGUCCUCGAGAGCAAACACCACUGUGAGAGUACGCAGUGUAAACACCUCCAUAGCAAUAACACGUCGGUGCUGAGCCAC